rnacentral:rRNA from 1 species
GAUGAACGCUGGCGGCGUGCCUAAUACAUGCCAGUCGAGCGAACACAUGGGGGGUUUCCCCCUCUGACGUUAGCCGCACGCGGGUGUAUUACAUGUGGAUAACCCCCCUAUAGGACUGGGAUAACUUCGAGACACCGGAGCUAAUACCGGAUAAUAUCUUGAACCACCUGGUUCAAUAGUGAAAGACGGCUUUGCUGUUGCUUAUAGAUGGAUUCGCGCCUGAUUGGCUAGUUGGUAGGGUAACGGGCUACCAAGGCGACGAUGCGUACCCGGACUGAGAGGAGGACCAGCCACACGGGGACUGAGACACGGUCCAGACUCCUACGGGAGGCAGCAGUGGGGAAUUUUGGACAAUGGGCGAAAGCCUGAUCCAGCAAUGCCGCGGGUGUGAAGAAGGCCUUCGGGUUGGAAAAAACUUUUGUUCGGAAAAAAAAAAUUGGCCAUGAUACGGUCGGGGGAUGGCGGUACCGGAAGAAUAAGCCCCGGCUAACUACGUG